GAUGAACGCUGGCGGCGUGCCUAAUACAUGCAAGUCGAGCGAACAGACGAGGAGCUUGCUCCUCUGACGUUAGCGGCGGACGGGUGAGUAACACGUGGAUAACCUACCUAUAAGACUGGGAUAACUUCGGGAAACCGGAGCUAAUACCGGAUAAUAUAUUGAACCGCAUGGUUCAAUAGUGAAAGACGGUUUUGCUGUCACUUAUAGAUGGAUCCGCGCUGCAUUAGCUAGUUGGUGAGGUAACGGCUUACCAAGGCGACGAUGCGUAGCCGACCUGAGAGGGUGAUCGGCCACACUGGAACUGAGACACGGUCCAGACUCCUACGGGAGGCAGCAGUAGGGAAUCUUCCGCAAUGGGCGAAAGCCUGACGGAGCAACGCCGCGUGAGUGAUGAAGGUCUUCGGAUCGUAAAACUCUGUUAUUAGGGAAGAACAAAUGUGUAAGUAACUGUGCACGUCUUGACGGUACCUAAUCAGAAAGCCACGGCUAACUACGUG
rnacentral:rRNA from 1 species